rnacentral:SRP_RNA from 1 species
GCCGGGCGCGGUGGCUCACGCCUGUAAUCCCAGCACUUCGGGAGGCCGAGGUGGGUGGAUCACCUGAGGUCAGGAGUUCGAGACGAGCCUGACCAACAUGGUGAAAUCCUGCCUCUA